GCCUACGGGACGCAGCAGUGGGGAAUAUUGGGCAAUGGACGCAAGUCUGACCCAGCAACGCCGCGUGAAGGAAGAAGGCUUUCGGGUUGUAAACUUCUUUUAAGGGGGAAGAGUAGAAGACGGUACCCCUUGGAUAAGCCACGGCUAACUACGUGCCAGCAGCCGCGGUAAUACGUAGGGAGCAAGCGUUGUCCGGAAUUACUGGGUGUAAAGGGAGCGUAGGCGGGGAUGCAAGUUGGGUGUCAAAACUACCGGCUCAACCGAUAGUCGCACUCAAAACUGCAACUCUUGAGUGAAGUAGAGGC
rnacentral:rRNA from 1 species